rnacentral:lncRNA from 1 species
CAAAUAGGCCGUUUCAGGAUGCAAACCUAAAGUUUGCGGUGAAUUGGUUUGUUCAAAGUGCAUUGAGAACAACGAGGAAGUUUUUUUGACGAUGUUGGACCGAAGAAACGUCUCAAAGUUUAUAUAUAAAAUAAACAUCGCUCCUUGAAAUUCAAUGACAGCAUAUGCACUCUGGGUGAAACGCUGCACGUAGUGAAACAAUUGUCGAAUCUGCGAUUAGAGACGGUAUGUAAAUAUUAUAUAUAUUAUUUUUGAUUGAAUAAAAAUACAAAAUAUAUGCACUAUAAAGUAUGUAUUCAUUGCUGUGUCCCCAGUGUAUAUGUAUUUGAUUUGGAACAGUGUGUACUUUUUAUAAUUUGCAACUCUUGGAUGAACCUAGUUGUUGCCGUCUUGGUAGCAUAAUAAAUGGCCAUUUAUACCACCCAAGGUUUGUAAUGUUUGUGUGAAUAUGUCUACAUGCACCGAACUCUGGUAGCUUAUAUAACAAAGGUGGCCCGCAGUUAUUGGGAGUAUAAUUUCUGUUGCAGUAACCCUGCCACUUGUACUUUACAUGUCUGUUUAUUUGAUGUACUUUAUACUGUAUCAUGGCAAAGUUAAUGGGUCAUUCCAGAAAACAUCCAUACCACCCCCAGAGAGGAAAUUGGAAGUUAAC